rnacentral:rRNA from 1 species
UUCGUAGGUGAACCUGCGGAAGGAUCAUUAAAGAGUAAGGGUGCUCAGCGCCCGACCUCCAACCCUUUGUUGUUAAAACUACCUUGUUGCUUUGGCGGGACCGCUCGGUCUCGAGCCGCUGGGGAUUCGUCCCAGGCGAGCGCCCGCCAGAGUUAAACCAAACUCUUGUUAUCAAACCGGUCGUCUGAGUUAAAAUUUUGAAUAAAUCAAAACUUUCAACAACGGAUCUCUUGGUUCUCGCAUCGAUGAAGAACGCAGCGAAAUGCGAUAAGUAAUGUGAAUUGCAGAAUUCAGUGAAUCAUCGAAUCUUUGAACGCACAUUGCGCCCCUUGGUAUUCCGAGGGGCAUGCCUGUUCGAGCGUCAUUACACCACUCAAGCUAUGCUUGGUAUUGGGUGCCGUCCUUAGUUGGGCGCGCCUUAAAGACCUCGGCGAGGCCUCACCGGCUUUAGGCGUAGUAGAAUUUAUUCGAACGUCUGUCAAAGGAGAGGACUUCUGCCGACUGAAACCUUUAUUUUUCUAGGUUGACCUCGGAUCAGGUAGGGAUACCCGCUGAACUUAAGCAUAUCAUAGGCCGGAGGAA